rnacentral:snRNA from 1 species
GUGCUCACUUUGGGAGCACAUAUACUAAAAUUGGAGUAAUACAGAGAAGAUUAGCAUGGCCCCUGUGCAAGGAUGACAUGCAGAUUCAUGAAGUGUUCCGUAUUUCU